ACAGGAGGUGGCAGUAUGCAAUAAGAAGUAAGGGUAUUCAUGUAACAAAAAUCUGAAGACCUGCCCAUUUCCGGCACGGGGGGGACAGAGACAGAAAGAGAGACGGAAAAGGUCCAAGGGGGCAUUUUCUGACAAGAAGGCUCCGAGGGAGAACCAGGACAGAUGCACUUUUAAAUCCCCCGCCCCCCAACCCUGGGCCAUCUGGGAUCCCUCCUCCCUCCACCUCUGCCAAGUCAGGCUGCAGCACACAUCAGCAGAGACUGCAGAACGUAAGACAACAGGAAGGGCGGGCCAGCGAGACGGAGCCGCCACCCCAGAGGCUCGGCCACCUUCAGUUUCUAGUCGACGCGAGCGUUCAUGAAGCAACGG